GACGAACGCUGGCGGCGUGCUUAACACAUGCAAGUCGAGCGGUAAGGCCCUUUCGGGGGUACACGAGCGGCGAACGGGUGAGUAACACGUGGGUGACCUGCCCUCAGCUCUGGGAUAAGCCCGGGAAACUGGGUCUAAUACCGGAUAUGACUUCAUGACGCAUGUUGUGGAGUGGAAAGCCUUGUGCGGCUGAGGAUGGGCCCGCGGCCUAUCAGCUUGUU
rnacentral:rRNA from 1 species